rnacentral:rRNA from 1 species
GACGAACGCUGGCGGCGUGCUUAACACAUGCAAGUCUAACGGAAAGGCCCUGCUGUUGUGGGGUGCUCGAGUGGCGAACGGGUGAGUAACACGUGAGUAACCUGCCCUUGACUUUGGGAUAACUUCAGGAAACUGGGGCUAAUACCGGAUAGGCGCUCCUGCUUCAUGGUUGUGUGUGGAAAGUUUCGGCGGUUGGUGAUGGACUCGCGGCGUAUCGGUUUGUUGGUGGGGUAGCGGCUUACCAAGGCUUUGAAGGGUAGCCGGCCUGAGAGGGUGAAAGGCCACAUUGGGAAUGAGAUAAGGCCCCGACUCCUACGGGAGGCAGCAGUGGGGAAUAAUGCAACAUGGGAGGAAGCCUGAUGCAGCAACGCCGCGUGCGGGAUGACGGCCUUCGGGUUGUAAACCGCUUUCGCAUGUGACGAAGCGUGAGUGACGGUAAUGGGUAAAGAAGCACCGGCUAACUACGUG